CUAUGAAUGAUCAAGUUGAUGCCAGCAAUGAUAAUGACAUGGGAAAUUAAAUGGAUGAAUUUUAUGGUAAUAAAAAUCUGGAAAGUGAAGAAGUGUAGGGCAACCAUGGCCUUGCAAGGAGUUUUUGGCACAAACUAAGACCAUAGUUUAACUCGAAGAAAAGUUCAAUGGCACGGUGUAAGAAGUUUCCGAAAUUAAGCGACUUGUGUCUGGUAGACUCUAAGUGAUAGUUCUCAUGAAAGCCAACAUGAUCAAGAUUGAUGGUCCACCGUGAUAUAUAGAAGUAGCAAUUAUCAGGAGGCGUUGUAAGAGCUGAUGAAGAAUGAUAUGCAUUCAAACAAUGAUG